UACAGAGGGUGCGAGCGUUAAUCGGAAUUACUGGGCGUAAAGCGCGCGUAGGCGGCCACUUAAGUCGGAUGUGAAAGCCCCUGGCUCAACUGGGGAAGUGCACCCGAAACUGAAUGGCUUGAGUGCGAAAGAGGGUCGCGGAAUUCCCGGUGUAGAGGUGAAAUUCGUAGAUAUCGAGAGGAACACCGGUGGCGAAGGCGGCCUUCUGGACAGCAACUGACGCUGAGACGCGAAAGCGUGGGGAGCAAACCGG
rnacentral:rRNA from 1 species